rnacentral:rRNA from 1 species
UGGGGAAUUUUGGACAAUGGGGGAAACCCUGAUCCAGCCAUCCCGCGUGUGCGAUGAAGGCCUUCGGGUUGUAAAGCACUUUUGGCAGGAAAGAAACGUCAUGGGUUAAUACCCCGUGAAACUGACGGUACCUGCAGAAUAAGCACCGGCUAACUACGUGCCAGCAGCCGCGGUAAUACGUAGGGUGCAAGCGUUAAUCGGAAUUACUGGGCGUAAAGCGUGCGCAGGCGGUUCGGAAAGAAAGAUGUGAAAUCCCAGAGCUCAACUUUGGAACUGCAUUUUUAACUGCCGGGCUAGAGUGUGUCAGAGGGAGGUGGAAUUCCGCGUGUAGCAGUGAAAUGCGUAGAUAUGCGGAGGAACACCGAUGGCGAAGGCAGCCUCCUGGGAUAACACUGACGCUAAUGCCCGAAAGCGUGGGGAGCAAACAGG